rnacentral:rRNA from 1 species
CACGUAGGGUGCGAGCGUUGUCCGGAAUUAUUGGGCGUAAAGAGCUCGUAGGCGGUGUGCCGCGUCGGCCGUGAAAACCUGCAGCUUAACUGUGGGCUUGCGGUCGAUACGGGCAUCACUGGAGUUCGGCAGGGGAGACUGGAAUUCCUGGUGUAGCGGUGAAAUGCGCAGAUAUCAGGAGGAACACCGGUGGCGAAGGCGGGUCUCUGGGCCGAUACUGACGCUGAGGAGCGAAAGCGUGGGGAGCAAACAGG